rnacentral:rRNA from 1 species
CCUACGGGAGGCAGCAGUGGGGAAUAUUGGACAAUGGGCGCAAGCCUGAUCCAGCCAUGCCGCGUGAGUGAUGAAGGCCUUAGGGUUGUAAAGCUCUUUCGACGGGGACGCGGUACCCGUAGAAGAAGCCCCGGCUAACUUCGUGCCAGCAGCCGCGGUAAUACGAAGGGGGCUAGCGUUGCUCGGAAUCACUGGGCGUAAAGGGCGCGUAGGCGGCCAUUCAAGUCAGAGGUGAAAGCCCAAGGCUCAACCUUGGAACUGCCUUUGAUACUGUUUGGCUUGAGACCGGUAGAGGUAAGUGGAACUGCGAGUGUAGAGGUGAAAUUCGUAGAUAUUCGCAAGAACACCAGUGGCGAAGGCGGCUUACUGGACGGUCUGACGCUGAGGCGCGAAAGCGUGGGGAGCAAACAGGAUUAGAUACCCUUGUAGUC